UUAAAAUAAGUUCUUCAAAUGGGAAAUAUUUGAAGAUUCCCAAUUCCCAAUACGAUGUCUGUAGGGCAACUGGGCAAAGUAGUUGAGUCGGGCGGGCAGUUUAUGUUAAAACCGUUAGCAGGGUCAGAAGGCGUACAUCCAAACCGGAUUGCCCGAGUCAAUCCGGUUUUAUAACGCUUCUGAUCAUAUACAACCCAAACCGGAUUGUCCGGAUCCAAGCUUUUCAGUUUGUGCAGCUGUUAGAUCGGAAUUUUUGUGGCCAAUGCGAAUAGCUCCACGUGUAAUCGAAGGACGGUGGAUUCGAAUUCACAUCUGCCCCCACAGAAAGCGACCAAAAACGUCCCACAGCACAUCCCAACCGUCUAUUGGGAGAUGUUUCUGAGAUGUGCAUGUGGGGCGUUUUCGGGGCGUGUUGGCGGGAAUCACCUUCCAUUUCUCUUAAAUGGCGGGUAUCACUUUCUAUUUCUCUUAAAUGGAUUGAACGAAGGCCAGCAGGGAGAAGGAGAGAAGGGUGAACAACUGAACGGUGUGCGUGUAAAAGAAUGGAGAAGAAAUAGAAACAACGGUAGUUCGAGACUACUGAAAUUCGCAGUCCCAGAACGUUAAUGAUUGAAGCUCAAGCAGGAUAUCAUCGCAGUUCUCAAUGCAGCUGAUCUCGUCGCUGAUAAUGGUUUUGUGUGGUUCAAGAGCCGAAGCUCGUUUAAGGAAUUUCGACCAAAGGUCAUCAUGGUAUUGGAACCCGAUGACGUUCUUCAAUCUUCCUGUCGGAGAGGGGAUUUUGGGAUUGGAUUAGAAGGAACCCUAAAUGACAAGAUGAAAGGAUUCUACUAAAGGAUUAAUAAUUGUUUUUACUUACUACUCAUGCGCUUAACGAGGAGAAGAAGAAUAUGGCGAUUACACACUUUUCACUUAGACGCGAGUCUCUGCUUAAUUUAACAUGAUGGGAUUAUGACCAUAUCUGUGGAUUGCUAUUUAAAUGAAUGCCAGAUAAAACCGAUUCCAGCCAUUGAAGAGAAAAGCUUGAUGGGCAUCACAACUCACAGGACAAUCUUCUUUCAGGAGUCAUCGUCAUGUGUCAAUUUAUUUAAUCAUGUAGAAAAUGAGAUGUCCGAUGGUAGAGAACCAUGGGUAUUCUGACCUCGUUUAUUUCUUCCACUGGGUUACCUGCCUUCCCGAUCUGUCUUCCAUCAAUGUUCAGGGCCUCAGGGGUCAAGGUUCAGGCAUAUUGUAAGGGAAAUCAAGGAAAUUUUGCUGAUCUGGAUGCUCAGUCUAUACAAAGUGUAUGCCUUUUCUUAAAAUUGUUAACUUUUUAAUGAUUUUCAAUUUGAGAAUUCA